GCGCGAAUGCUCCUUCGUGAUUAAUCCCGUAUUUUAUCGGUGAAAGUGCGUAACGAGUGCGAAUUUUCGUCGGGAGUGUCGAUUAAAGUGACGGGCGAGUGCCGGAAUGUAUUAUUUGCCACGUGUGUUUGUGAUGAACGGUGUUUUGUCGAUAGCUGUACCGUGUAUUGAAACCGGUAACCCCAGCAAGAAGUACAGAGAUCCUGAUGCUACAGACGUUAUGUAUACUACACAGACGGUAUACUUUUUACGAAUGUAGCAUGUUUAGCUUAUUGAGAUUCGACGAAAUCGGAUAAAACAUAGGUAUUGUGUAGCAUACUGGAUGACCUCCGCAUGACCGCCAAUGCAGUCGUCAUUUGUCUCGCUUACUCGGAGUGUGUACAUAGCAUCGUAGUUACAUUAUCUCGCGUUUGCGUUUUGUACAUUGCGUGAUAUAUUCGCGACAUAAAUCCGUGAUUUUUGAAAGUAAAGUGUACGGGUUGGUAUUUGACGUGUAACUAACAAGCGCAAAGUUUUUAGUGUUUAUUGGUUUUGGAUGGUUGGAGUGAGAUGGAGCAAUCUGAGGCAGGAUCUGCAGAGUUAAGCAAACUGCAAUAUUCUAGCUAGGUACAGUUGGUGCGUGUACUUGGCUAGGAUACAACGACUGG